CGCCCCUGGCAAUGGGCAAAGAGACAUUGGUGGUGGAGCUCUUAUAUCAGUCAGGGUCAGAGCAGAUGGCAGUCCUUGUUCAUCCUAGCUUGACGCCUGGUUUCGUGGCCAGAGCUAUAUUUCAUGCCUAUGACUCAUAA